rnacentral:lncRNA from 1 species
AAUGAUAUAAGAAUUCAAUAAAACAAGUUCAAGAAUUAAUUUAUCCAGGAACCAAUAACGUCCAAAUUGUCAACAUUAUACUGCUUUGUAGAGUAAAAUUCAAGAAUGCUCAGAAGAAUAUUUUCAUGAAAGGAUACUGGAUGAAGCGCAAAUAUCAAGGAUAUUCCACUAAUUUCAUGGAGUAUAGAAGUCAAAAAUUUAACCAACUGAGUAUAAUAAGG